rnacentral:rRNA from 1 species
UACGUAGGGUGCGAGCGUUGUCCGGAAUUAUUGGGCGUAAAGGGCUCGUAGGCGGUCUGUCGCGUCGGGAGUGAAAACUCAGGGCUUAACCCUGAGCCUGCUUCCGAUACGGGCAGACUAGAGGUAUGCAGGGGAGAACGGAAUUCCUGGUGUAGCGGUGAAAUGCGCAGAUAUCAGGAGGAACACCGGUGGCGAAGGCGGUUCUCUGGGCAUUACCUGACGCUGAGGAGCGAAAGUGUGGGGAGGCGAACAGG